GAACGCGGUGUGGUGUAUCAAUGCGCAAUCGCAUGAGAACGUUUCUCGAGUCGAGGUCUGGAGCGAGGAAUAAACAGAGUAGAGAGACCGAACAGAGAGAGAAAGAGCGACGCACCAGCAGGCAGAGACGAUCACGAUGCUCGGAGGAAACGGCAAGCGGCCAGGGGCACAGGGCUGAGGGCUGAGGGCUCAGCGAGGGCUCUCCUUUUUAAUAAAAGAGUUUUAUUACGUUUAAUUGCGGGCGCAGCGAUGGAACAAACCAAACCGCCCUCAUCCCGACUACUUAAUACGUCCUGCAUCGAGAACAAGGACGACUUGGAGGAGAAAUUUGAACGCUGCCACACCGUGCUUCAGAAUCUGACCUCGGGACUGUCGGAAAAGGAAGCUCACGAUACCUUGAACAAUGCGGUGUGCAAAGAUAAAACUCAUGAGGAAGUGUCGUUAGGAUUAUUGGUGGUGAUAUUGACAGAGCCUCAAGAAGCGGCCAAAAGUUAUAGAGAUUUGACGCUGAUAACGAGGGAUGGAUUGGCAAUUGUAUUGGGCCACUUGAAUCAGCUAGUCCUAGAAAGAUAUUUGAGAUUGAAUGACGUAGCACGAGGUCAAUUGCUGUGGCUGUUACGAGAAAUGAUAAGAACCAGCGUAGCCAAUGUUGAUAAUUUGUGUUUGAGUUUAUUGAGGCACGCAGCCGGCGGCGACACCACACCCAGGAACCUCUUUCUCGUGGAUGCUCUUCUUGACAUAUUUCAAGAGAACAGACCAUGGCUCGACAAAAAUCCCCUUCUUGUUGCUUCUAUUGUUUAUUCUUAUUUGCGGCUGAUAGAAGAUCACAGUGCCCCUCAUCUAGCUGCUCUCAGACAGAAAGAAAUCACUUUCCUUGUUACUCUCAUUCGAGAGCGCAUGGUGGAUUGCUUAGUCAUCGGAAGAGACUUGGUGAGGUUGCUUCAGAACGUGGCGAGAAUCCAAGAAUUUGAGAGUCUCUGGAAGGAUCUCCUGUUAAAUCCAAAGUCCCUAUGUCCGAGUUUCACGAGCGUUCUGCAGUUGUUGCAAACGAGAACGUCCAGAAGGUUUCUGCAGUCCAGAUUGACUCCCGACAUGGAGAGAAAACUCGUGUUUCUCACGAGCCAAGUACGCUUUGGAAAUCACAAGCGUUACCAAGACUGGUUUCAGAGACAGUAUCUCGCAACACCAGAGUCACAGUCGUUGAGAUGUGAUCUCAUACGAUUUAUCGUUGGCGUUAUACAUCCGACGAAUGAAUUACUGUGUUCAGACAUAAUACCACGUUGGGCCGUGAUCGGUUGGCUUUUGACGACUUGUACCUCGACCGUCGCGGCUAGUAACGCAAAACUCGCACUUUUCUAUGAUUGGCUCUUCUUCGAACCGGAAAAAGACAACAUAAUGAACAUCGAGCCUGCCAUCCUCGUGAUGCACAAUUCUAUGAGGUCCCAUCCUGCUGUCACUGCCACACUAUUAGAUUUUCUAUGCCGCAUUAUUCCAAAUUUCUAUCCGGCACUCACGGACAAAGUUCGAAACGGAAUUUUCUCCUCGCUCAGACAAAUUCUCGAGAAACGUGUUCUUCCCAGUUUGUAUCCGCUUUUCGACAGCCCGAAAUUGGAUCGCGAAUUGAGAACGAAAAUUCGGGAAACUUUCAAAGAAUUUUGUCUACCACCUAAUACGGAUCCGGCAGCGGGUAAUAAGGUUCCCAUACUGUAUUCAGGUAAAAUGGAAGAGCUGAACAAGGAUUUAGGACCGGGACUAAUGCUCGACAAUAGUGGAAAUUCAGCGAUGGAGAAUAAUCACGUGAGCCAUGGACCAGAGCCGGCGUUCAGUGACGAUGAAGAAGAAAUGCCCUUGAGGAUAGUAACAAAAGCGGAGGAGGAAGAGGACGAAGAGGAUAUUCCGCUUGCGACAGUGAAAUUGAAAAACGAGCAAAAAAUCGCGGCGGCAAAUUGCGUGCCGAAGAAGGAUGAAAUAACGACGCAAUUGAAUCUUAUUUUGGAGCCUGAGGAACUUAAAGCAGCUGUUGAGAGUUUGCACAGCGAGACCGAUAACGAAGUCAAGUGUCAAACGAUGGAAAGGAUAGUUCAAAUGGUGAUCGAGGAUGAAAUCGACGGAGAAAUGAUUUCUUCUCUCGCGACUUGUAUCUCGACCAUUCUCGCUCCGCAAAUAACGGAUCAAAUAUUCCCUACGGAAAAUACCAACGACGAAGCCUUCACCGACAGCAUAAGCACUCCCAUAUUUGUCAUGUUUAGAAAUCAAUUCCAACUCUGUAAGGAAGAAGACAAUAGAAGAAAACUUUUGGCCCGAGUAUUGGCUGAAAUUCAAGCUAUACAACCGAGGAUAGGGUAUCUUUUGUUAUAUUUCUUGAAGGUUUGGGGCAGAGAAGAGGAAAAACGAGAAGGAGAACCAAGUAAACUUUUGAACGACGUCAAAGCAUCUGUGUACAAAGAUUUUUGCGGACAACGGGAAAAAAAGUUGGAGGCGUGCUUGGUAUCGGACCUGAAGCUUUGUCACGAAGACAGCAUAUGCAUGUUGUGUUACCUGGUACCUGACGUUUUUACCGGAUUCCAAAACGUCACGUUGGGCAACGCGCAACUGUUGCAUCUGGUCGUAUCGACCGUUGAUUCGCGCCAAUUGCAAGAUUUAAUCUGCGAAAUAAUGCAAGGACAUCUGAAAAUGUUAAAGAAGGAAUCCUUCACGGCGCUCUUGACUGCCAGUUUAAAUUGGGAAACUUUUGAACAAUAUUGCUUCUGGCAAUUGAUAUGUGCUCACGAUUUUCCCAUCGAAUACGUACUGCCGGUUUUACCGAAGCUUCAAUUUCGUGAUCACGCUGAAGCGCUUACGUCAAUAUUGUUCAUGCUCAAACAGGAAAAACCAACGAUGGAACUCCUGAGACAAUUACUGGCGCGGCAAAGCGCAGACGGUGACAUGUUCGUAGUUGCGGCGUUGCGUUAUUGGUGUCGCGACUACGAGGACAAACUUAGUGAACUCUUGGCGAAUCUCUUGAGCACGCGUUAUCCAGCGACAAGUCCGAACAAGCGAAAGCGUACCGGGGCCAAACAGAAUCAACAAUCGGGUCCACCGACGGGAGAGCAAGUUUUGGGGCAUUUGGAUCAGUUGAGGCAACACUGCAACACAGACGCCGAGUUACAGUUGUACCAGACCGAAGGAAUGCAACGAGCUCUUCAACAAGCUCAAGCAGCCGGCAGCGAUUCGCUUAGAAAAAAUUACGGCGACUUAUUCGCUCUCGCUGAGGUGAGCGAGGAAAACGAACCACCUCCACCUCCACCAACGAGCUCGUCGAGAAAACACGCGACCGCAUCUUCGGGCGCAGCAACUGGGAAAGGACACAGAAAAAUUGGAGCCAGUACGAGAGAAAGAUCUGCUUCCAAAAGAGCACCCCCGAGAGAUAGAACCACCGAGAGUAGCGACCAAAGUAGCGAGGAGGAAGAAAUCGUAAAACCAAAGCAAGCAAAAAAGAGAAAAAAGAUGAACCCGGUGGAUUCGGACAGCGACUGACCACCCAGUGUCUUCAUACGUCAAAUGGACCACUAUACGUGUGUGCAGCGAGCUACGUUAGCCUUAAAAACCUUUACUUGAGGAGUUCUAUAUCUGCUUGGAUCGUUGAGCCAUUGAUGGGGAUCGUUAAUAGGACCGAUUUGGGAAAUUCCUCGUCUCGUUACAAAAUAGUGUGUACGUAUGACGGUUUUUAUACAUGAAACAGAAAAAAUAAUAAAAAAUACGAAUGUGGAUCGAACGUAAGUGCUAAACGGAUGGAAAAACAUCGUGCUUGGAAAAUUGAACAGGUGCGUAGUGAGAGAAACGAAAAACAAUGAUCUCGCGGCUACAAUAUUUUCAUCUCGCGUUACCCGCACUGCCGUUCGUGCAGUUUGUACGAAAAUUCGUUAUAGUUUUUUUAAAUAGAAAUUUCGAUGAAGAUUGAAAAAUGGAAAACUUUACGUUAUUGUACGAGAAAAAUAACUCCGUCGAAAGCCGACCAAAGUGUGUCUCCACUCGUUGAAAUGUUGUACGAUCGAACGCGUAUUUAUUCGAGUCUACGCUUAGUCAGCACGACGAUUCCCCUGAAAGUAGAUCUUUUUGCGUUUUUCUUGCAACUUUUGUACCAGAUAGGUUGGAUCGAGCGGCCGACUCUGCGUCGCCGUUUUUUUCUCCUUUUUCCUCUGCCGGCGACCUCACAAUUCACAAUUUGCUCGAAAGUUCCGGCAAUUGAGAGCGAAUACAAAAGUGCGGUGAAUUCGGACACAUCGAUCGCGCACAGUUGUCUAAUACGCCUAGAAAUUAUUGUAAACAGUUGUUGAUAUCGUGUAUUAAGCGUUUGUAAAUUCGACGAAUUUAUUCAUGUUAUCCUUUUUUUUUUUAUUCAAUUCUCGGAACGAAGAGAGCGAACAGGAGAGAGAGAGAGAGAGAGAAAAAGGGUGCAAGAGGGAACAAAAAUUCUCAAAUGACGAUCUCGUAACUGGUAACGAGAGAUGGGCUUCAAUUUACUAUAAAAUCUUUAUGGAAUGAAAUAUGCACUAUUUGUUUUAUUUAAUUUGCCAAUAUUCGUUUUCUUUUUUCGGAUCGAGACUGGAAUGGCAUGGAAAACAGUGUUUCAAUUCGUUAUUCUUUCCAUUUUUAAAACUUCUUCGAUGCAAAAGUUAUUAUUCAGAGUUUGCAUAAAUAAUAUGUUCCAAGGAUAAAUUUAUCAUCAAAAUUUUGUACAAUAACGAUCAAUAAUUUUACAAAAGUUUACUAGUACUUUUUCUUUUCAUCGUGUGCUGCCCCUCUCUGCUCGUAUCCCUUCAAGUUUUAUCGUACAUUUUAAUUGAGAGCGCUCUCGACCCGACAACUGCGAUAACAGCGAAAGUGUGAGAAAGAGAUAGAAAAAAUGGUAAACGUGAGGAUUGAAUGAAAUGGGUCAAGAAACGUGAAUUACAAACGUGUAUUCACCCCGUAAUGUGUACAUUUCCUGUAAAAUCAGUUACUCUAGUUUAAGUAGCUGCGUUAUGUAUUUUGUAGGUUGUACAUAUUGAAGCCGCGAAAAUGAAACAGGAAAAAAAUGGGAAACCGUGAGAAAGGAAAGCGAAAGAAAAGAGAAAAUAAUUUUAGAGAAAAAGUCGCGCUUGAUUCUCAAUUGAAACAUUGCGUUUAUUAACAUAAAUUUUUCGUCCUUCUCCCCAAGAGCCCAAAAAGACCAUUGAAACGAAACAAAAACGCAAGAAAACCGAUUAAUGAAAAAAACCUCCUUUUUUCGUAUUCGUGGUAAUUUGCACAUUUUGUUUUGCGGUCAAAUCGAGCGGGUAAAAAAAAACGUGUACAAUGUAUUCAUAAUCGCAUAAAUGCAAUUAAUCAAGAUUAUAGUUGUCAGCGCCAUUAGAAUUUUUCUACGUGUACAUAAGAACGAAAAACAAAACUCAAAAUGAAGAACAAUUAAUAAGUCGACGAUAGCAUGAAUAUACUGGGAAUUAAAAAUAAUCAAGGCGUGAAAUACCGUGCUUGAUGAGUCAGGUGUGACGAAUAAGAAAAAAAAAAACAAA
rnacentral:misc_RNA from 1 species